ensembl:lncRNA
AGUGUGAGGCUAAAGUGAGCAGCUUUGAUCUUCACUAAGCUCGCAAUGAGAUCAUUUCAGUGGUUUUGUGUGCUGCUGUCUCAUGUCUCAUAGAAGAGCAAGAGUGGCUAGACAACAUGUGAAGAAGCACUACUCUAGAUUACCUCAGGAGCCUGGAGUUUUGUCCUUACCCUUUGCUGCCUGGCCACAGCACAGCUGCAUGUGGUGAAGGUGACGCAGUCAGAACUUGGCAAAAUAGAAGCUGUGCGUCAUUUAACUUACCUAGGUGAUUGAUGGAGCAGAAAAACUAACGACCCAUGAAGGAACAAAUGUUUCUCAAACAAAAGGUAAAUAAAUCUGAUAAUGGAGCUGUAAGGAUGGGUGAAAAUCAGAGGUUGUAAGUGCCCUUAAAUCCCCCUGAAACUGCAGCCUCAGACCUUCUGCAUGAAUUUCUAUGGGGAGAAGAAAAGCAAUAACUUUGGGAGUGUCAAAAGCUGUGAUGCAGAGAAAAUUAAUGUUUACAUCAUUUUUAAAUGCAUACAGUUUGUAAUACACAUUGAGAGCUAGCUGAGGACACAAUUGCAAAAUGCAUUGUAUUGUAAGUGCACUGCAACGGCUGCAGAGAGCCCCUGGAUCAUAUUGACGGGAUGGCACGCCAGCUGGAUCCAACUAAGAAUUCCUCAUCAAGGUGUGUUUAAACUCCGAGAAUACAAAAUCUUUUUCCAUUAAGUAUGAUAGCUACGUAGUCAUUUUUAGUGUUCUCUUUUCUCAUGCUAUUCGCUUUAUUGCUGUCCACCUUGGGAUUCCUGCUACUAUGGGAUUUCUUACUGGGCUGAUGCUUGGCCAAUAUUUGUCCAACUUCUCUUUUUUUUGUCUCCUGUGAAAACUGUCUGAAACUAAGCAGAAACUAACCUUAAUUUAUUUCUUUAAUAAACAAAAUUAAGAUACUGCAUAUUAAUAAAAAAUGAAAAGUAUUCCCUUGUUGGUUUUCUUUUUUUUUUUUUUUUUUUUUAAGUUUCCCAAAACAGUCCCAUAUCUCUGUCAAAGUUAACGUAACUAGAAUUUCCAUGGGAAUUUGUGUUGAUCUGGGGAAACUGGAACUGGCUAAUGUAAAUAACUAUAGCCCAUCCUCCA